rnacentral:rRNA from 1 species
UAGUCCACGCCGUAAACGAUGAUAACUAGUUGUUUGCAAUAGAUCGUAAGCGACAAAGCGAAAGCAUUAAGUUAUCCACCUGGGGAGUACGUUGGCAACAAUGAAACUCAAAGGAAUUGACGGGGGCCCGCACAAGCGGAGGAACAUGUGGUUUAAUUCGAUGAUACGCGAGGAACCUUACCUGGACUUAAAUGUAUAGUGACAGCUUUAGAGAUAGAGUUUUCUUCGGACACUUUACAAGGUGCUGCAUGGUUGUCGUCAGCUCGUGCCGUGAGGUGUCGGGUUAAGUCCCAUAACGAGCGCAACCCACGUUGUAGUUGCCAGCAGGUUAAGCUGGGCACUCUAAAGAAACUGCCGGUGAUAAGCCGGAGGAAGGUGUGGAUGACGUCAAGUCCUCAUGGCCCUUACGGGUUGGGCUACACACGUGCUACAAUGGUAGUGACAAUGGGUUAAUCCCCAAAAACUAUCUCAGUUCGGAUUGGGGUCUGCAACUCGACCCCAUGAAGUCGGAAUCGCUAGUAAUCGACG